CAUAGGUUAAUGAGGCGAACCGGGGGAACUGAAACAUCUAAGUACCCCGAGGAAAAGAAAUCAACCGAGAUUCCCCCAGUAGCGGCGAGCGAACGGGGAGCAGCCCAGAGCCUGAAUCAGUGUGUGUGUUAGUGGAAGCGUCUGGAAAGGCGCGCGAUACAGGGUGACAGCCCCGUACACAAAAAUGCACAUGCUGUGAGCUCGAUGAGUAGGGCGGGACACGUGGUAUCCUGUCUGAAUAUGGGGGGACCAUCCUCCAAGGCUAAAUACUCCUGACUGACCGAUAGUGAACCAGUACCGUGAGGGAAAGGCGAAAAGAACCCCGGCGAGGGGAGUGAAAAAGAACCUGAAACCGUGUACGUACAAGCAGUGGGAGCACGCUUAGGCGUGUGACUGCGUACCUUUUGUAUAAUGGGUCAGCGACUUAUAUUCUGUAGCAAGGUUAACCGAAUAGGGGAGCCGAAGGGAAACCGAGUCUUAACUGGGCGUUAAGUUGCAGGGUAUAGACCCGAAACCCGGUGAUCUAGCCAUGGGCAGGUUGAAGGUUGGGUAACACUAACUGGAGGACCGAACCGACUAAUGUUGAAAAAUUAGCGGAUGACUUGUGGCUGGGGGUGAAAGGCCAAUCAAACCGGGAGAUAGCUGGUUCUCCCCGAAAGCUAUUUAGGUAGCGCCUCGUGAAUUCAUCUCCGGGGGUAGAGCACUGUUUCGGCAAGGGGGUCAUCCCGACUUACCAACCCGAUGCAAAC
rnacentral:rRNA from 1 species